CGAUGGAUAGGGGUUCUGAGAGGAAGGUCCCCCACAUUGGAACUGAGACACGGUCCAAACUCCUACGGGAGGCAGCAGUGAGGAAUAUUGGUCAAUGGACGAGAGUCUGAACCAGCCAAGUAGCGUGAAGGAUGACUGCCCUAUGGGUUGUAAACUUCUUUUAUAAAGGAAUAAAGUCGUCUAUGCAUACCCGUUUGCAUGUACCAUAUGAAUAAGGAUCGGCUAACUCCGUGCCAGCAGCCGCGGUAAUACGGAGGAUCCGAGCGUUAUCCGGAUUUAUUGGGUUUAAAGGGAGCGUAGAUGGAUGUUUAAGUCAGUUGUGAAAGUUUGCGGCUCAACCGUAAAAUUGCAGUUGAUACUGGCAGUCUUGAGUGCAGUAGAGGCGGGCGGAAUUCGUGGUGUAGCGGUGAAAUGCUUAGAUAUCACGAAGAACUCCGAUUGCGAAGGCAGC
rnacentral:rRNA from 1 species